UGAUCGGGACCUCCGACGUUUGGAAGCA
rnacentral:sRNA from 1 species